rnacentral:tRNA from 1 species
GACCGGGUGGAGUGGCUCCGGAGGGCCUGACUCUGGAUCAGCUAGUCUUGGUUCGAAUCCAGGUCCGGCA